AUUUUGAACACGACCCUGGGCCGGUGAGCAGCAGACAACAGACGGCAGCAUAGAAGAAAAUACAAUGGAGAUGGAAAGAGCUAUCGAAAAUCGUGGAUGCUGCCUCGUCCGGAAGUUCCGCAAGUCCUUGCGACGCCAUCUUUUAUUCAUUCUGACUCUCUCGGCUGUCAUCGUUGGGUUUACAUUGGGCUUUUUAUUGCGUCUGGCCGAACCGUCAGCUGAUGCACUGCUAUGGCUUGGUAUGCCUGGGGAGCUAUUUUUACGUUUGUUGAAAAUGAUGAUCAUUCCUUUGUUGGUGUGCAGUGUCAUACACAGCACAGCGUCUUUGGACCCCAAGUCUAACGGAAAGAUCAGCAUUGUGGCCUUCGCCUACAUAAUGCUUACAAACAUAUUGGGUUGUCUAAUAGCAAUAGCGCUGUUCUACGUCAUCAAGCCAGGUAGUGAAAGUCCCCUAGUUGAAGGCAAAACAAACGUAUACGAGGCCGUCCCACAGGAUAUAUUUGCAGAUUUACUCAGAAACAUAAUUCCAGAUAAUAUGGUGGAGGCAACAUUUCGACAGACACAAACAAAAUAUUCCCAUGAAAUGGUAGAGCAAUUUCAAUUGGUUGAUAAUUCAACCCGAAAGAACAUAUCAUCCAAUCAAAAUUCAACAAUUCAAAUGGUUCAGAAACUUGUGAAAUCAGUAGGGAAAACAGAUGGACCUAAUAUACUUGGUCUUAUCGUUGCCUGUAUGUUUUUGGGAACGGCUGCCGGAAAAAUGGGAAAGAAAGCCAAACCAUUCCUGGACUUCUUUGCCGUUAGCACCGAAGUGGUAUUACAGGUGCUCCGAUGGUUUCUUUGGAUGACACCGGUGGGUAUAUCAAGUCUGAUCGCAGCCUCCAUAGCAGGUACCCGUGACGUCACAGGCACCUUCUCCAGUCUUGGUCUGUUCGUUUUGACUGUGACCCUAGGGAUCGUUCUUCAUCAAGCGCUGUUUCUCCCCCUCAUCUUUUUUCUCACCACUAGGAGAAACCCGUAUACUUACUUUUUAAGUAUAGGCCGUGCCUGGCUUAUAGGAUUUGCCGCCACUAGCACAGCUGUAGCCAUUCCUGAAAUGUUAAACGCUUGCGAGAACAAGAAUCACAUCGACAAGAGGGUCAGUCGAUUUGUCAUCCCUUUCUGUGUGACGCUUAACGCUGAUGGCAGCGCCCUCUUUAUUACAGCGGCGGCCAUGUUUAUCGCCAACAUUUCCGGUCACCCGUUGACGUUUGGAGAAGUCGCCAUUAUCGGGUGAGUUCUGUUAUAUAUUUAAAAUACAAGGUUCAGAUAUUACUUUUCCCGCUCUCUGUUCAAGUAGAUUUAAUACAAUGCAUUACAUGUACUCUCAUAAAAAUGCUAGUAGUAUACCCUAUUACUGACAUGAUGUCCUUUCCACUGUAAAUGUAGAUUACAUUACUGUCUAUCUGUAAUUCUACUUUAUUUAUUUUGUUACAGUUCACUCUACUGUAUUUGCUUACAGCUUACGUUACUGGUUUUUGUUUACAGCUUACGUUACCGGAUUUUUGUUUACAGUUUACGAUAACGUCUUUAGUCACAGUUUAUAUUAUUUUCAUUGUUUACAGUUUACUGACAGCCAUUGCCAGCCUUGCCCUGCCAUCUGUCCCUAGCUCAAGUAUCGUCACCCUCAUCAUGGUCCUGUCCUCAAUGAAUGUCCCCGUACAUGCUGUGUCCCUACUGUUUGCUGUUGAGUGGUUCUUGGAUCGAAUUAGAACAACUUCCAAUGUCUUAAGCCAUACUCACUGCGCGGCCAUCACGCAUCAUUUUAACCGACAGGGUCCAGGAAAAACGGAAGAACCGGUAAUGAUUGAGGAGGAAGUAGAACUUAUAGUACAUUCACCAGAUGCGUACAACUCUUAAUCUUCCGGAUUGUGCAAUAUAAAUUACAAAAAAUUACUGCCAAACAGCUUGUAAAACUAGGCAUUGAAUCUCAGUUAUGUCAUAUAUCAUAAUGUUGUGAAGAGUUAUUUUUCGAAGAAAAAAAGAUCAUUUAUUUAUCUAUUAUUUUGUUUAAAAAUAUAUAAGAUCUUUAUAUUCACUGCUUUUUGUGAUUAUGAUCUUUUUACAAAAGGAUUGAUUGUCUCUCUGUACAAGAAACCUCAAGUUAGUUAUACAUACUACUGACGUUAUAUGUUGAACCGUUGUGAUUGGUACUGUUGAAUAAAAUUCUAUCUAUUUUG
rnacentral:misc_RNA from 1 species